UGUACAUAUCAGUACUUCAGAAAGACAGUGCCAAGAGAUAGGGAGUCACAUAUCCACUACAUACUCCUAUCAAACCUCGGGUGUACUUAGCAGGUUCAGGACAACACAGAAGCUGUGAUGACCAUUUGAGCUAUCAACAUUAACUUACAGUGGGACAGAGAAUUCUCACCGAAACAUGACGUGUUUAAGGAAAAUAGCACAAGGCAUCACCAUAUGCCUCGUUUUAUUGACUGUCGCCAUGACAACUGUGGUUAGUGAGGACUCAGAAGUUCUGGUCUUAGAUCCUCCGGAGAAAAUCGCAAUAGAGGUAGGCAAAUCAGGAGAGGUAAGCUGUUCACUCCCAGAUGGAGCCAAUCAAACUGACACAAUCGUGUGGCUGAAUGAGAACGGGACAAAUGUGAACGACUUGAACAGGACACAGAUUAAGGAAGACGAGGGUACCCUGAAACUGGAGGGUCUAGUUCUGUCCGACAGUGGUGACUUUGUCUGUACGACUAAAUCAAGGGCAUAUAACUCUACAGUAAAUGUCACAGUGUAUAACAUGCCGAGCUAUUUCACCGAGGGAAUGAUUAUCAUAGGGAUCAACAUCGGCCUCGUUGUCAUCUUCAUUGGCUGUGCCACACAUAGAUUCAUUCAAAAUAAAAGGAAUAAAGCGAAAGCAAAAAAAACAAACAGGCGAGCGUGAAAACUACACACAGAGUAAUUUUAAAUGAACAAUUGAAUGUGAAAACAGUAAUUAGUGAUUUUAUAUCAACAGAUGAGUGUGAAACUGUAUAUAAAGUAAUUUUAUAUCAACAGAUGAGUGUGAAACUAUAUAUAAAGUGAUUUUAUAUGAACAAACGAGUGUAAAAACUGUGUAAACCUUCAUUCCACAUGUACUGAUGAGUGAAAAAGAGAGUUAUUUGAUAAUGACGGAUGAAAGUGAAAAACUGUAUAAAUAAUCAUGUUAUAAAAAGAUGAAUGUGAAAA